rnacentral:rRNA from 1 species
CCUACGGGAGGCAGCAGUGAGUAAUAUUGGUCAAUGGACGAGACUCUGAUCCAGCCAAGUAGCGUGAAUGAUGACUGCUCUAUGUGCUUACAACUUUUUCUAUAAAAGAAUAAAACGAGGCACGUGUGCCUUUUUGCAUGUACUUUAUGAAUAAGGAUCGGCUAACGCCGUGCCAGCAGCCGCGGUAAUACGGAGGGUCCGAGUGUUAUCCGGAUUUAUUGGGUGUAAAGGGAGCGUAGAUGGGUUGUUAAGUCAGUUGUGAAAGUUUGCGGCUCAACCGUAAAAUUGCAAUUGAGACGUGCAGGCUUGAGUACAGUUGAGGUAGGCGGAAUUCGUGGUGUAGCGGUGAAAUGCUUAGA